rnacentral:rRNA from 1 species
GUGCCAGCCGCCGCGGUAAUACGAAGGGACCUAGCGUAGUUCGGAAUUACUGGGCUUAAAGAGUUCGUAGGUGGUUAAAAUAGUUGGUGGUGAAAUCCCAGAGCUUAACUCUGGAACUGCCAUCAAAACUUUUUAGCUAGAGUAUGAUAGAGGAAAGCAGAAUUUCUAGUGUAGAGGUGAAAUUCGUAGAUAUUAGAAAGAAAACCAAUUGCGAAGGCAGCUUUCUGGAUCAUUACUGACACUGAGGAACGAAAGCAUGGGUAGCGAAGAGGAUUAGAUACCCUCGUAGUCCAUGCCGUAAACGAUGUGUGUUAGACGUUGGAAAUUUAUUUUUCAGUGUCGCAGCGAAAGCGAUAAACACACCGCCUGGGGAGUACGACCGCAAGGUUAAAACUCAAAUGAAUUGACGGGGACCCGCACAAGUAGUGGAGCAUGUGGUUUAAUUCGAAGAUACGCGCAGAACCUUACCAACACUUGACAUGUUCGUCGCGACUCUAAGAGAUUAGAGUUUUCGGUUCGGCCGGACGAAACACAGGUGCUGCAUGGCUGUCGUCAGCUCGUGUCGUGAGAUGUUGGGUUAAGUCCCGCAACGAGCGCAACCCUCACUUUUAGUUGCCAUCAUUAAGUUGGGCACUCUAAAGGAACUGCCAGUGAUAAGCUGGAGGAAGGUGGGGAUGACGUCAAGUCCUCAUGGCCCUUACGUGUUGGGCUACACACGUGCUACAAUGGCAUUUACAAUAGGAAGCAAAAUGGCGACAUCAAGCAAAUCCUAAAAAAAUGCCUCAGUUCGGAUUGUACUCUGCAACUCGAGUACAUGAAGCUGGAAUUACUAGUAAUCGCGGAUCAGCGCGCCGCGGUGAAUACGUUCCCGGGUCUUGUACACACCGCCCGUC